rnacentral:rRNA from 1 species
GAUGAACGCUGGCGGCGUGCCUAAUACAUGCAAGUCGAGCGAACAGAUAAGGAGCUUGCUCCCUUGACGUUAGCGGCGGACGGGUGAGUAACACGUGGGUAACCUACCUAUAAGACUGGAAUAACUCCGGGAAACCGGGGCUAAUGCCGGAUAACAUUUAGAACCGCAUGGUUCUAAAGUGAAAGAUGGUUUUGCUAUCACUUAUAGAUGGACCCGCGCCGUAUUAGCUAGUUGGUAAGGUAACGGCUUACCAAGGCAACGAUACGUAGCCGACCUGAGAGGUGAUCGGCCACACUGGAACUGAGACACGGUCCAGACUCCUACGGGAGGCAGCAGUAGGGAAUCUUCCGCAAUGGGCGAAAGCCUGACGGAGCAACGCCGCGUGAGUGAUGAAGGUCUUCGGAUCGUAAAACUCUGUUAUUAGGGAAGAACAAAUGUGUAAGUAACUGUGCACGUCUUGACGGUACCUAAUCAGAAAGCCACGGCUAACUACGUG